rnacentral:rRNA from 1 species
UACGAAGGGGGCUAGCGUUGUUCGGAAUUACUGGGCGUAAAGGGCGCGUAGGCGGUGUGUCAAGUCAGGCGUGAAAGCCCCGGGCUCAACCUGGGAACCGCGCUUGAGACUGGCAUGCUCGAGUUCGGGAGAGGAUGGUGGAAUUCCCAGUGUAGAGGUGAAAUUCGUAGAUAUUGGGAAGAACACCGAUAGCGAAGGCAGCUUACUAGACUGUAACUGACGCUGAUGCACGAAAAGUGUGGGGGAUCAAA